UACGAAGGGGGCUAGCGUUGCUCGGAAUUACUGGGCGUAAAGCGCACGUAGGCGGCUUUCUAAGUCGGGGGUGAAAUCCUGGAGCUCAACUCCAGAACUGCCUUUGAUACUGAAGAUCUUGAGUUCGGGAGAGGUGAGUGGAACUGCGAGUGUAGAGGUGAAAUUCGUAGAUAUUCGCAAGAACACCAGUGGCGAAGGCGGCUCACUGGCCCGAUACUGACGCUGAGGCACGAAAGCGUGGGGAG
rnacentral:rRNA from 1 species